rnacentral:lncRNA from 1 species
UCUGACUUCAAUCACUUUCAGAUUCACCUCAUCUUCAGGAGAAGCAAAGAAAUGUAAAUGUUUAUUGGUGUUUUAUUAAUAAUUGUUUCACUAAUCUAGUUGACAAAGGAUGGUUCCUACAAUUCCACUUUUAUUACAAACCUCAUGCACAAUAAAUCCCCAGUGUUUCCUACAGGAGGGUUCUAGCCUUUACUGAGUUCACCAAGCCCGUGAGCUAGAUAUUAUUGUUGCCCCGUCACAGAUUAAAAAUCUGAAGAUCAGAGAGGUUUGGUAACUUGGGCAAGGUCACACAGUGACUAUGUGACAAAACUACAAUUAGGAGUCAAAUUCAUGUGACCUCAAAUGGUAAAACUUUCCACCACAAGAUAUUACUGUAGUAUGGUAAAAGACAUUGAUUCUCAACACCAUCUUGAUAUCAAAAUUACUACGGGAUUUUUUUUUUUUAAGCAGAAAUGUUUAGGUCCCAUCUCAGAUUUCCCAAGUCAGGAUUUCCUGGGGAAGAACAGUGGCAACAACGCUUUUCAAAACAUCCCUGAAAAGUUCUAAUGUGUAGGCUGAGUUGGGGAGCCUACUUCGUGGAGGUAAGAACGAAGUUCUGCCUACAUUGGAAAGUUAAAUGAAAUGAAGGAAUCCACACUCCUCCUCAUCAGUUGGGAGGGUGAUGGAUCAUACUUCCAUCCAGUCCUUAUAUUCGUCCAUAUAAAAAGACCCUACAGUAUUAGAAACAAUGAGCUACAGCAGAGUGGGCAGAAUUAAAUCUCAUACCUUUCAUUCCUUGUAACCUGAGAAGUAAAUAUGGUGCAUAGUGCUCCAAUAUCUCCCAACUCAAAUCUGAAUUGAUAGAUGGGAAAGGAAGUCAGAGUUUCAAGGAGAAGUACAGAAAAGAAAUAGAUUCUUUCUUGGGCCUUUCCAGAAGAUGCUACAAUAAUUUUAUUGUAAUUCUCUGAUUAAUUUCCUCUACAUCAAGGAUCUCAACUAAAAACUAUAAAUUGAUAGUCAAGAUUUUUCCCUUCCCUCUACCCAGCUUCCUCUGACUAACUCCUGC